rnacentral:rRNA from 1 species
GGCGGACGGGUGAGUAACGCGUAGGAAUCUGCCUGGUAGUGGGGGACAACGUGGGGAAACUCACGCUAAUACCGCAUACGCCCUACGGGGGAAAGCGGGGGAUCUUCGGACCUCGCGCUAUCAGAUGAGCCUGCGUUGGAUUAGCUAGUUGGUAGGGUAAAGGCCUACCAAGGCGACGAUCCAUAGCUGGUCUGAGAGGACGAUCAGCCACACUGGGACUGAGACACGGCCCAGACUCCUACGGGAGGCAGCAGUGGGGAAUAUUGGACAAUGGGCGCAAGCCUGAUCCAGCAAUACCGCGUGUGUGAAGAAGGCCUGAGGGUUGUAAAGCACUUUCAAUAGGGAGGAAAAAGCAUUGGUGAAUACCCGAUGCCUUGACAUUACCUAUAGAAGAAGCACCGGCUAACUCCGUGCCAGCAGCCGCGGUAAUACGGAGGGUACGAGCGUUAAUCGGAAUUACUGGGCGUAAAGCGUGCGUAGGCGGUUAGUUAAGUCAGAUGUGAAAGCCCCGGGCUUAACCUGGGAACGGCAUUUGAUACUGGCUAACUUGAGUUUAGGAGAGGAGAGUGGAAUUUCCGGUGUAGCGGUGAAAUGCGUAGAGAUCGGAAGGAACACCAGUGGCGAAGGCGGCUCUCUGGCCUAAAACUGACGCUGAGGUACGAAAGCGUGGGUAGCAAACAGGAUUAGAUACCCUGGUAGUCCACGCCGUAAACGAUGUCAACUAGCCGUUGGGUCUUUAUUAAGAUUUAGUGGUGCAGCUAACGCAUUAAGUUGACCGCCUGGGGAGUACGGCCGCAAGGUUAAAACUCAAAUGAAUUGACGGGGGCCCGCACAAGCGGUGGAGCAUGUGGUUUAAUUCGAUGCAACGCGGAGAACCUUACCUAC